rnacentral:rRNA from 1 species
GACGAACGCUGGCGGCGUGCCUAAUACAUGCAAGUCGAACGCAGUGGGGACGGGUGAGUAACACGUGGGUAACCUCCCAUCAGAGGGGAUAACACUUGGAAACAGGUGCUAAACCGAUACUGAUGGAUGGACCCGCGGUGGAUUAGCUAGUAGGUGGGGUAACGGCUCACCAAGGCCACGAUGCAUAGCCGGCCUGAGAGGGUGAGCGGCCACACUGGGACUGAGACACGGUCCAGACUCCUACGGGAGGCAGCAGUAGGGAAUAUUCGGCAAUGGGCGAAAGUCUGAUCGAGCAACGCCGCGUGAGUGAAGAAGGUUUUCGGAUUGUAAAGCACUGUUGGUAGAGAAGCGUUAUCUAAACAGAAAGCCACGGCUAACUACGUGCCAGCAGCCGCGGUAAUUC